GGAGGGCUUCAGCGAGCACUUUCUGCAUCACAUGUCAUGCAUCACCCCCCUGCUGUCUCUCUCUCUCACUUUUUUUCUUCUUCUUCUUUUUCUACGCACUCGUUCUAACACACCCUAAAUGACACAAGUCAGCCUCUUUGCCAUUCUUCGCUCUCCAGCAACACAAACAGUAUCUCUCACUCACAACUUUGGAAACCAGCAAACGCUCUGAGCGGUCUGCAAAGCUUCCUGUCAUCCUAGUGAACACAAUUUAGAGUUUAACAAGGGCAGACUUCCUGUAACAUCUCCAGUAUCCUGAGUAUAAAAUUCACCAAUGGAUCUCCUGAUGACAAGUUCACAGCUGCUUUGAAAGCACCAGGAGUUUGUGACUGUAAAGUUCAGCCUGUAACUGAGACUCCAAACCAUCCAGGAAUUUUUUUUCUUUAAUUCAACUGUAACUUCUUCCUAAGGAGGGAUGGGGGAUUCUGAACAAAACAGCACUCCAUUGGUGCUGGGCCUUUUGUUCAUCCUAUUAUUCCUCCUUGUUGUGCUCUUUGUACUGUACAAGAAGCUGAACAGGGAGGCUGAAGGGGAAUAUACAGUCCGACGCAUCGUCUACAAGGAAGGAGGUCUCAGGGACCAGGCGAGAAGUGCAGCGUUAGCUGUGGGGGCACGUCUUGGGGUCCAGCUGUGGCCUGGAAGUGAUGAAGAAGAGGAAGGGGAGGAAAUGCAGGAAGUCCAAGAUGAAGAAGAACAGGUGGAUAGUGGUGGUAGUCAGGAGAGUGACACAGAGGGAGAUGAAGAGGAGGAGGACAACGACACUGGUAAUGCUAAGGAGAAAGAAAGUAAUACUUCAAAUGAUGACUCAAGUAUUGGGAGUUCAGAGGCAGGAGAGCAAACCAAACUUAACGAUGAGUCUGAGCCAGAGGGAGAGACGGAAGAUAAAAGUGAAGAAAAGGAGGAGAAAGUGGGAGAAGAGCAGAGUAAAGCUGAGGCAAGUGGAGGGCCGGGAUUGCUGAUAGAUCUAAAGCAGUUCUCUGGAAGUGCGAUCUGGUCUGAAGAAGGUGGUGAGGGUAAAGGUGACGUGACGGCGUUGUGAGAAUCAGAAAUAAUGAAUAAGACUGAGGAAACUGCCAAAUCAGGAUUUCACAAACAUCAGCUUCAUCCCCUAAAUGUCUCCCCACUGCAAAUUCCUUCUAUUAGUCUAAAAAAAUAAAAUAAAAUAAAAGAUACAUGCACCCACCCAUUAAACCCAAAGAGCUUUAAUCUUUCAUGACCUCACUGACCUUGCUUUCCUCUGGUCAAAUUUUUUUGAUGAAUAAAGCAGUUAUAUAAACAUACAGGGGUACUCUAGAUUGUAACUGUAAAGUGUAAAAAAACCAAUACUUGUCUAUACUUUUUUGCUUUAAAUGUUUAUUUUAAUCUACAUAAGAAAUUGAAAACUGGAAACUUUUUUUAGUGUUUUCUGCUCUGUUUUUUGUUGUUCUUUAUGCCGUUUGUAGAAAUAAAAAAGAGUAGUAAUUAAAUAUAGUGAGAACAAAAUAAUGCGUUAUUUGUUUUAUUGAAAACAAGUGAAUGUAACCGAUCAAACUGACAUUUUACAUUUUAUAUGGUGUGUAAAUGGUUGAAAAUUUAAUAAACCACAUACUGAAAAUA